rnacentral:rRNA from 1 species
ACUCCUACGGGAGGCAGCAGUAAGGAAUAUUGGUCAAUGGACGAAAGUCUGAACCAGCCAUGCCGCGUGAAGGAUGACUGCCCUCUGGGUUGUAAACUUCUUUUAUAGGGGGCGAAAAAAGGGAAUUCUUUCCCGUCUGACGGUACCCUAUGAAUAAGCACCGGCUAACUCCGUGCCAGCAGCCGCGGUAAUACGGAGGGUGCAAGCGUUAUCCGGAUUCACUGGGUUUAAAGGGAGCGCAGGCGGACAUGUAAGUCAGUGGUGAAAUACCUGAGCUUAACUCGGGAACUGCCAUUGAUACUAUAGGUCUUGAAUGUUGUUGAGGUUUGCGGAAUGGGUCAUGUAGCGGUGAAAUGCAUAGAUAUGACCCGGAACACCUAUUGCGAAGGCAGCAGGCUAAACAAAUAUUGACGCUGAGGCUCGAAAGCGUGGGGAUCAAACAGGAUUAGAUACCCUGGUAG